CUUCGGUGUAGCGCUUAGGCGGAAUAGACUUCCUCUUAGCACGCUCCAUCACCACAGCAGAAGAAAGCUUGCUUGAAGUCUGGAACCAGGAAGAAAAGAGGGCCGGAUCCAUUGCAGCCAGGACCUAUAAAGGAUUCAGACAGGUCAAGAAAAGCCUAGAGGACACACACGUUAAUGAUUCAGAUAUGGAAUCUGACUAUGGGAUCAGCAGCACCCAGCAGAGAAGGAGGCGUUAUUAAUGGAGAGAAGACCCACUAAUUACCAUAAAAACUUAACAACAUCCUAUUCAGAGAAGAAUUAGGAUACAACAAAUAAACCAUUUCAUUUCACAUUUC